UAGCAGAAUUUUACCUUUUAGUUCAGCACAAAGACUUUUAUAAGUUUAAAUACUGAAUAUUUCCAAAGGUUAAUAACUUUCCGCUAAAAGAUAAAUCUGCAUAAGAUUAUGGUUGUUGGUAAUUUAAAAGCUUACCAAGCCUAUGAUCUUUAGUUGGUCUGAGAGGAUGAUCAACCACACUAGAACUGAAACAAGGUUUAGGCUGAAUUUUCGGCCAGCAGUGAGGAAUAUUGGACAAUGAGCGAAAGCUUGAUCCAGCAAUACUAACUGGGGUGACGACGGCUUAUUUAAGUUGUAAAG
rnacentral:rRNA from 1 species